UCUUAAUUUAUAAAAGUCCAUCUGAGCACUUGCCACUAAGCAAACUGAAUAUAUAAACUGACUGACAUAAGUACUUAUCAAAAGGAUCUGAUGAGUAUUAAGUAACUUCCGAGGCAAGAUCGUCGGAUAACUGAACUUUCUCCAAGUCCUGAGUUUCAGUCGAAUGUUUGCUGAGUUUGGAUGUUGGGAUAUUAUUCGAGGAUCAAUUGUCGUGUGCAAGGUAGUCGACAUCAAACAUUUUUUACCGCCGUUUGGCAGGCGGUAUCAUUGCUGGCGGAAGAUUAUUCCCCGUACAUGCGCUGUUGCUUCGGUAUACUGGCAUGAUUAUAUGAUGAUACAGUUUGUCUUUGAGUUUCCAUGUAACGUGGACCUAAAAACUAUAUAGUUUGGCAAAAUAAUCAAGACAACCACACAUUAAUAACAAAGGAUGUAGGAACAAAAAGACCUACAAGACAAACCAGUAAAGCCAGACAAAAAAAAACCAACAUCCAAUACACACAUUAUAAAAACCCUUAAAACCAAACAAACUAGAAGACAAUACUAGUAAUCAGCAACAAACUAAACUGUAGCUUGGGAUCCCGCUCGCUUGCCGACUCUGAGAGGAGGUUGGGCCAGGAUGCCAGGCUAGUAAAACUGGAACUAGCUAUAUACAUGUAUCAUGUAGAUAGAACAUCCGGUCGUCUAUAGGCAGUAGAUAAAAUAUCAACGAAAAAACAAAAAUACAAGAUAUAAGCGAAAAAUCCACAGUAAUGUCAUAAAAAGUUUUUCUGACCACAAUAUAUUAACUAUUUGUCCGAAAACGGACAGCCAGAACAAUAUAUUAACUAUGUGUUUGAAAACCGACAGACAGAUCAUCAAAUUGAUGAUCUCAUAUAAUAAGACUGUCAAUAAAAGGACUGACUCAAGGACUGAUGUUUAUAUUGACACUUAUAGACGAAUUUUUCGGAUCAAAAUAAAACAAUCAUCACUGUCUCCGAACGUGUAUUUCUACGAUGUCAUACCAUAACCAAAGUACAUAUAUAGUGAGAGGCUGUCCAGCGUCGAGUGACUUUGUUAGUAUUUAUAUAUGCUAUAUAAUCAAGGUUUCAACAACGACUGAAUUACAUGAAGGUUGUUACUGGACAUAAAAUAGUCCCUACUUUGUAUUGUCUUCAUUAUUUACACAACAAACCUUACCUCCGUUUUAUAUCUGCAUUCAAGAAAUGUACAAACAUUCUUGAUUUUCUUUCUGUCUAGUGUUCUCACAACAGAUAAUAAGCUGGUUAUCAGAU